UACGAAGGGGGCUAGCGUUGUUCGGAAUUACUGGGCGUAAAGCGCGUGUAGGCGGGUCGUUAAGUUGGGGGUGAAAUCCCGGGGCUCAACCUCGGAACUGCCUUUGAUACAGCAAGUCUUGAGUUCGAGAGAGGUGGGUGGAAUUCCUAGUGUAGAGGUGAAAUUCGUAGAUAUUAGGAAGAACACCGGUGGCGAAGGCGGCCCACUGGCUCGAUACUGACGCUGAGGUGCGAAAGCGUGGGGAGCAAACAGG
rnacentral:rRNA from 1 species